rnacentral:rRNA from 1 species
UACGUAGGGUGCAAGCGUUGUCCGGAAUUAUUGGGCGUAAAGAGCUCGUAGGCGGUCUGUCGCGUCGGAUGUGAAAAUCCAGGGCUCAACCCUGGACCUGCAUUCGAUACGGGCAGACUAGAGUUCGGCAGGGGAGACUGGAAUUCCUGGUGUAGCGGUGAAAUGCGCAGAUAUUAGGAGGAACACCAGUGGCGAAGGCGGCUCACUGGUCCGGUACUGACGCUGAGGUGCGAAAGCGUGGGGAGCAAACAGG